rnacentral:rRNA from 1 species
GACGAACGCUGGCGGCGUGCUUAACACAUGCAAGUCGAACGGAAAGGCCCUGCUUUUGUGGGGUGCUCGAGUGGCGAACGGGUGAGUAACACGUGAGUAACCUGCCCUUGACUUUGGGAUAACUUCAGGAAACUGGGGCUAAUACCGGAUAGGAGCUCCUGCUGCAUGGUGGGGGUUGGAAAGUUUCGGCGGUUGGGGAUGGACUCGCGGCUUAUCAGCUUGUUGGUGGGGUAGUGGCUUACCAGGGCUUUGACGGGUAGCCGGCCUGAGAGGGUGACCGGCCACAUUGGGACUGGGAUACGGCCCAGACUCCUACGGGAGGCAGCAGUGGGGAAUAUUGCACAAUGGGCGGAAGCCUGAUGCAGCAACGCCGCGGGCGGGAUGACGGCCUUCGGGUUGUAAACCGCUUUCGCCUGUGACGAAGCGUGAGUGACGGUAAUGGGUAAAGAAGCACCGGCUAACUACGUG